rnacentral:rRNA from 1 species
CGGACCGGCGCACGGGUGAGUAACGCGUAUCCAACCUGCCCACCACUUGGGAUAACCUUGCGAAAGUAAGACUAAUACCCAAUGAUAUCUCUAGAAGACAUCUGAAAGAGAUUAAAGAUUUAUCGGUGAUGGAUGGGGAUGCGUCUGAUUAGCUUGUUGGCGGGUAACGGCCCACCAAGGCAACGAUCAGUAGGGGUUCUGAGAGGAAGGUCCCCCACAUUGGAACUGAGACACGGUCCAA